GUAGUGGGUGCAGCUGUUGUAGCUGUUGAUUCUGCGAAGAAGAUUGGGCCAUCCCGCAGCGAUGUUAAAGACUCAUUGCCUGCUAUCACAAAUGCUUGAUUGAAUUUCUUGGAGUCAAAAGUGACACAACCAGUUAUUAGGUUUAGGGUGUAAUUACCUUUUCACACAGGACCAGGUAGAUUUGAAUACAUUUCUUCAUUCUACUGUUUCUAUGUCACCAAAUACACCUUUUAAGAUCUUGUUUUUUUUUCUUUUUUUAGCUCAGAACGUAGUAGCAUAAUUUUCAAACAAUAAGUCAACUAUACCAUUACUUAAGUAUAGCACAUGACUUUAACAAAAUAAUAACAUAAGAAAUCAACAAUAUAAAGUAACACAAAAUGCUGGGUCACAGACCCACCCCUGAACGGUGGUAAUAUACAACACCUGAUUAUUUUCUAGUUUCUUUACAUUUUCUAAAAAGCCAGAAGAUAGAUAUAUAGAUAGAUAGGACCUGGUGAUCAUUACCCCUACAUUUUAAAGGGUAGACAAUUAUACUCAAAGGAACAUACACAAACAACAUUUCUUUUGUAUGUGACUCAUACCUGGGCAAUCUCACAUCACUGUGUUGCAGCAAAAAGGAUUAAUCAGGUGUGUCCCUGAUUAUUGCCUAAUUGUGUUUACCCUUGUUAAGAUGAGAAGUUUUUCUAAGAAUUACAAUUUCCCAACAAUUACGCAAAUGAGGUUAAAUCAUCUCUUGCAACUGUGUAUAAAAAGCUCUGCUGUCAGUACAACAUUACCACAAUCAUCCACAUCUCUAAGACAGUCUGCAAAGACCUGACGGUGAAAUCACUGAAACCAUGAUCAAGGUUGUGUUUCUGCUUGGAUGCCUGCUGAGCCUUGCUCUGGCAAAUCCUAAUGACUCAGCACACGAGCGCGAUGCACGUUCUUCAUCUGGGGAGGGGACUUUUGGGACCCUAAAUCGUCUUACCCUGCUACUACCUCUUCUACAGAAUCCACUACUUCUGCAGAAUUCAACGCUCCUUGCUUUGCUUCUUGCUGCUAUACGAUAAGCUGCUUCUUAACCUACAGCUAUUACUGCCACAAAGGACGAACUGAAAAUCAAUGAACAGUGAAUAAAAACCUAUGUUGAAUUGCA